rnacentral:rRNA from 1 species
UACGUAGGGUGCAAGCGUUGCCCGGAAUUAUUGGGCGUAAAGAGCUCGUAGGCGGUUUGUCGCGUCGACUGUGAAAACCCGAGGCUUAACCUCGGGCCUGCAGUCGAUACGGGCAGACUAGAGUUCGGUAGGGGAGACUGGAAUUCCUGGUGUAGCGGUGGAAUGCGCAGAUAUCAGGAAGAACACCCGUGGCGAAGGCGGCUCUCUGGAACGCAACUGACGCUGAGACGCGAAAGCGUGGGGAGCAAACAGG